rnacentral:sRNA from 1 species
GAUUACAGGUUCGAAAGGUCAUUCUCACACCUGUGCUUGCACAAGGGGUGAGAUAUGAUCUUGAGACACGCCCCGAUAUGAGCAUAAAAGUGGAGCGUAAGCUUCACGAUAUGCGAAUAGCGGGGCGGAUUGCGUGAGUGCAAAGCACGGAGCAAUCCGUGA